AAUCUUGCGCAAUGGGCGAAAGCCUGUCGCAGCCAUGCCGCGUGAAUGAUGAAGGUCUUUGGAUUGUAAAAUUCUUUCUCCGGGGACGAUAAUGAUGGUAUCCGGAGAAUUAGCCCCGGCUAACUUCGUGCCAGCAGCCGCGGUUAUACGAAGGGGGCUAGCGUUGCUCGGAAUUACUGGGCGUAAAGGGCGCGUAGGCGGAUCGUUAAGUCAGGGGUGAAAUCCCGGGGCUCAACCUCGGAACUGCCCUUGAUACUGGUGAUCUUGAGUAUGAGAGAGGUAUGUGGAACUCCGAGUGUAGAGGUGAAAUUCGUAGAUAUUCGGAAGAACACCAGUGGCGAAGGCGACAUACUGGCUCAUUACUGACGCUGAGGCGCGAAAGCGUGGGGAGCAAACA
rnacentral:rRNA from 1 species